rnacentral:rRNA from 1 species
UACGUAGGGUGCAAGCGUUGUCCGGAAUUAUUGGGCGUAAAGAGCUCGUAGGCGGUCUGUCGCGUCUGCUGUGAAAACUCAGGGCUUAACCCUGAGCUUGCAGUGGGUACGGGCAGACUAGAGUGCGGUAGGGGAGACUGGAAUUCCGUGGUGUAGCGGUGAAAUGCGCAGAUAGUCAGGAGGAACACCGGUGGGCGAAGGCGGGUCUCUGGGCCGUAACUGACGCUGGAGGAGCGAAAGCAUGGGGAGCGAACAGG